CAAGGGCUCUGCCUGCUAUUUAUGCCACACACUCAAGACACCAAUUGUCAAGAAUUUCCCUCCAAACUGUCAUAUGUUACUGAAUGUGUUUGGAGGAAGCAGCCGCGGCGGCGGAGGGCGAGCAGCACGGAGGGAGAGCGCCGCUUUUCAGCGGCUGAGCCAAUUGUCUUCUGGGCAGGAGGGGGCGUGAAGGAGGAAUCUGAACAGACCCACCCGUUACAGUGGCACCCAACGUGACUGGGGGAUGGAAGCGGCGGACGACGACGACCACCAGCAGGGGAUGGCGGCCCAGCCUGUUGUGGUACUCGGCCAGAUGAUCGGGAACCUGGCGGCCCGCAGAGGGAGCGGAAGAGUUCGCCGGCGUCAGCCCGACCAGGAGCUGCGCCACGGUGAGAGAGGCUGCCGCGGACAGAGGAGCAACCCGUACUGGCUCCGCGGCAGGCACCGUUUUCCCCAGCCCGCAACCCACCGGCCCCGGGGAUCCCAGGCACCCUUCCCAACCGACAGAGAGGUUCUCAAGCGCCGGGGCAGAAGUGUUGGAGGUGCGGGCGGCUCGGUCACCUCCAGAGAGAGUGCCUGCUGAUGGAGGUGGGACAGGUGAUCUGACAGGUGGGACAGGUGACCCUCUCCCGGUCCGGGAGCGACGUACCGCGUUCCGGCGGUUUAUCAGAGACUACAGCGAGACAGCAGCUCCGCUCCAUGCUCACUUCCCAGCAGGAGCCGUUUCACUCGUCCGCGGACGCAGCCUUCCAAGAGCAUAAGCGGCGGUUCACCACAGCACCCAUCCUCACGCUUCCCGAUCACGCUAGCCAGUUCGUGGUGGAGGUGGACGCCUCUAGUGACGGGCUCGGGGUCACGACGACUGACGGCAGCGGAAUGGAACUACGAUGUGGGAGAUUGUGAGCUGCUGGCAGUGAAGGUGGCGCUAGAGGAGUGGCGCCACUGGCUUGAGGGGGCACAGCAUCCGUUUCUGGUUUGGACAGACCACAAGAACCUGCAGUACAUUAAGAAACGUUUAAAUUCCCGUCAAGCCCGCUGGUCUUUGUUUUGUUUUUUUAACCUUUUUGAUUUUUCCCUGUCCUACAGACCGGGGG
ensembl:lncRNA